rnacentral:snRNA from 1 species
GUGCCCACUUCGGCAGCACAUAUGCUACAAUUGGAACAAUACAGAGAAGAUUAGCAUGGCCCCUGGGCAAGGAUAAUACACAAAUUCGUGAAGCAUUUCAUAUUUUU